rnacentral:rRNA from 1 species
CCCUCAAGAGUCUGGGCCGCACGCGCGCUACACUGACCGAACCAGCGAGUUUAUCACCUUGGCCGGAAGGCCUGGGUAAUCUUGUGAAACUCGGUCGUGAUGGGGAUAGAGCAUUGCAAUUAUUGCUCUUCAACGAGGAAUACCUAGUAAGCGUGAGUCAUCAGCUCGCGUUGAAUUCGUCCCUGCCCUUUGUACACACCGCCCGUCGCUACUACCGAUUGAAUGGCUUAGUGAGGGCUCCGGAUUGGCUUUUGGGAGCCGGCAACGGCACCUAAUUGCUGAGAAGUUGGACGAACUUGGUCAUUUAGAGGAAGUAAAAGUCGUAACAAGGUUUCCGUAGGUGAACCUGCGGAAGGAUCAUUAAUGAAAUGCAAGGACGCUCUUUUUAGAGGUCCGACCCAAUUCAUUUUCUCACACUGUGCACACUACUAUUUUUACACCCAUUUUUAACACUUAAAGUAUAAGAAUGUAACAGUCUCUUAAUUGAGCAUAAAAUUAAAACAAAACUUUCAGCAACGGAUCUCUUGGCUCUCCCAUCGAUGAAGAACGCAGCGAAAUGCGAUACGUAAUGUGAAUUGCAGAAUUCAGUGAAUCAUCGAAUCUUUGAACGCACCUUGCACUCUUUGGUAUUCCGAAAAAUAUGUCUGUUUGAGUGUCAUGAAACUCUCAACCCCCUUGUUUUAUAAUGAGACAGGCGUGGGCUUGGAUUAUGGCUGCUGCCGGCGUAAAUGUCGACUCGGCUGAAAUACACGAGCUACCCAUUUCUAAAAAAUAAACGGUUUGACUCGGCGUAAUAACAUAUUUCGCUGAGGACGUCACAUUCUCCAAUAUUAGUGGGGCUUCUAAUGCGACAUCUAAAUUUUAAGCUUUUAAACCUCCAAAUCAAUCCGGGACUACCCCCUGAACUUAAGCCUAUCAAUUAA